UUUAUCAACAGACUCCGAGCUUGUGAACCUAACUUCUCGGUCGUUUUACAAAUUUUCGUUAAAUUCGACCGCUUUUUGUAAGAAUAUGGUAGCAAUGCCUGUAAUUAGCUUAUACGUAGCUGAUUCAAGGGAAUUUCAAGAAAUUGUUGUUCCUCUCGUGUUUAGAAAGGUGUCCAAUGCAAUCCAUU
rfam:Actinobacillus pleuropneumoniae L20 serotype 5b complete genome.